rnacentral:rRNA from 1 species
UACGGAAGGGGCGAGCGUUGUUCGGAAUCAUUGGGCGUAAAGGGCGCGUAGGUGGUUCUGUAUGUCUACCGUGAAAGCGUACGGCUCAACCGUAUUUUGUCGGUAGAAACUGCAGGACUUGAGGCUGGGAGGGGCUGGCGGAAUUCCCUGUGUAGCGGUGAAAUGCGUAGAGAUGGGGGAGAACACUCGUGGCGAAGGCGGCCAGCUAGACCAGUUCUGACACUGAGGCGCGACAGCGUGGGGAGCAAACAGG